UACGUAGGCAGCGAGCGUUUGUUCGGAGUUACUGGGCGUAAAGAGUGCGUAGGCGGUUUUCUAAGUUUGGUGUGAAAUCUCCGGGCUCAACCCGGAGCAUGCGUCCGAAACUGAUUCACUAGAGGAUGGGAGGGGAGACUGGAAUUCUCGGUGUAGCAGUGAAAUGCGUAGAUAUCGAGAGGAACACCGGUGGCGAAGGCGGAUCUCUGGACCAGUUCUGACACUGGAUGAGCGAAAGCCAGGGGAGCAAACAGG
rnacentral:rRNA from 1 species